AAAACGACUCUCGGCAACGGAUAUCUCGGAUCUCGCAUCGAUGAAGAACGUAUCAAACUGCGAUACUUGGUGUGAAUUGCAGAAUCCCGUGAAUCAUCGAGUCUUUGAACGCAAGUUGCGCCCGAAGCCGUCAGGCCGAGGGCACGUCUGCCUGGGCGUCACGA
rnacentral:rRNA from 1 species